UACAGUCUGACACUGAGGACAAACAGGAGAAGAUCAUUUUACAGCAGGUUCUCAGCAUCUUUACGUUCGACCUCGUCUCCACCAUGAAGAUCCUGACUCUGUUUUUCUGUGUGUGCACCAUGUUGGCUCUGAACAGAGCUGAUGAUGAGAAGACCAAUACCACUCUCAUGUCUGUGUCCCUAUUAUAAAGCCACAUCCAGCAGCUGGUUACUCUGACUUAGCACCGAGACUGGAA